UGGGUCUAAGAUUAAGUUAAGUGACUUCUGGCUUUAUUUACAAGGAUUUCACAUUCUUGAUUCUACCGCUUCAUAUUAUGCUGCUAUGCUUAGGUGGUAAAAUCUAUGUUGCAUUAGGGUGUAUUCAGUAUGUUCAAUAAAAUUGGUCUUCAUUGCUUGCUUUUAUUACAUUCUGUUUUCUGAUUAUCCCUUUUUCUUUGGAUUCAGGAGGUUUCCCAACGCUUAGCAGCAAAUGGGAGUGGUGUUCAAGGAGAUUACAAGCUUCUUCCUAGUGGCCCCAGCAAUGCAACUCAAAAUGACACCAAGGCUUCUGAAAAUAAGGAGGUCUCUAUAAUAGAAAAUGUUUGUUGGACCGAAUUUGGACUUCUUUGCUUUGUUUGGGUUGCAUUUCUCACUCUGCAGAUCAUCAAGAAUUAUACAGCAACAGGUUUUUCUGCUCAAUAGGUUUGUUCGCUUUGUGAGCACUCCGGAGAUCUUGGAACGGUUGCACACUAUAGAAUCUGAGAUUAUACAGAUUGAAGAAGCAAUCACCAUACAGGG